rnacentral:rRNA from 1 species
GAAGAGAGAGUUCAAGAGUACGUGAAACCGUCUGGGAGUAAACGGGUGGUUCCCGAAAGUACGAAAGGGGAGAUUCAGGUCUCGCUGCGCGUCGGGCGGCGCCCGCGAUCAGAGAUGGUGUUCUCGCGGCCGGGGGGCGACCCUCGGUCCGGGGNNNACUCCACUCCGCGGGCGCCGGUUGUUCCCGGCGCCGGAGUGACGCACUUCUCCCCCAGUAGAACGUCGCGACCCGUCGGGCGCCGGCCUAAGGUCCCGGGUGGAGUCUGCGCAGUUCGCUGCGCACGACCCCGGGGAUCCCGGCCGGGUGCUCGACGGUACGAAGAGAGGAAGGAGUCGACGCGCCGCUCGUCGGCGUCCGGCCCUCCGCAAGCGCCCGCGGGAGUCCGAGACUCCGGGCCCGGCCCGGUCUCGGUCCCUCCGCGGGGCUGUUUGCGAUGAGGAGGUGUCCUCGGAC